GGACAAUUCGGCAUUGGCAGGCCAAUCUAUUUGCUAUAUAGUAAUAUCUUUAUUCUUAGUGUUCGAAUCACUAAUUGUCCG